UGUAGAUCUACAGGAGUUUCCACCAGCACUGAGCUCAGGGAGACACUGCUUUGGGGAGAUAUCCCCGGUGGUCUCCAUUGCUUGUGCAAGCAAAAAACCUUUUCUUCACCUACUUCUGCCUUGGUUGUGCUUUUCCACUUUGCACCCACCAAGAGACAAACCCAUUGAGUUCGGUUACAAAU